AAUACUCUAAUAAUGAUGAUCAUCACACUUUUGUUUACUUACAACCCAAUAAAACUGAAUGAUAUGACUACAUAUGAAUUUCUCUGGUAGUGUACCAGGAUAGUAAUGGUGGAAGUUGCAUGGCAGUAUAUUUCAGAAUGGCUAUGAAAAAACCAUGAUAGGUAAGUAUGGUUAUUGUUUUGACGAAUGAUAUAAUAAGGCUUAUGUGUGAUAGAGCGUACCAUAUCCCGGGGUUUGGACGCGCUUGCGAAGUUUGUAUCAAGUCUCGAGGUGAGAGCGGACAAUGCAUGUUACCGAAGAGACUAGCAAAAUAUACCAUGAACAAAAAACACAAAGCUAUAAAUUGAGUAAAUGACAUGCUUUCAAAAAAAAAUUCGAGCUACUUUAAGAAAAAUGGCAUGCCAUUAAAAAAAAUACGGUCCUCUCGAAUACUGAAAAUACCAUCCUCUCAAACAUUAAAAAUGCCAUCCUAUUUGUAAUAAAAAAUGCCACCCUCUCAAUAAUUAAUAUGCCAUCCUAUUAUUGAUAAAAUACCAUCCUAUUGUUAAUAAAAAUGCCAUGCGUUUAGUUAUAAAAAUUUCCAUGCCAAUAAAAAAUUGCCAUCUCUUAAAAAAAUGUCAUCAUAUUAUUGAUAAAAAUGUCAUCCGAUCCUAUUGUUAAUAAAAAUGCCAUGCGCUUAGUAAUAAAAUUUCCAUGCCAAUAAAAAAAUAUCAUAUCCUAAUAAUAAGAAUGCCAUCCUAUUAUUGACAAAAAAUUCAUUUAAUAAAAAUGCCAUCCUAUUGUUAAUAAAAACUGUCGUGCCAUUAAAAAAAUGCCAUCCUCUUAAAAAAUGACAUGCU
rnacentral:lncRNA from 1 species